rnacentral:lncRNA from 1 species
AUCUGCUUUUUAUACAAUUGAAGAAUUAAGUGUUGGACAAAGCAUAUAAGCACAAUAAAAAAUAUAAUAUUUAAUAAAUUUAGGUUCCAAAAAAUUAUAUGGUAAGAAAACAACAUUUAUAAACAUAUUUUGUAUUUUUAUUAUUAUCAAAUUCAAGUUGUUUUAUUAUUUAAUUAAUUAUAAGUAUAUAAAAUAUAUAAAUAAUUACAUUUGAAACUAACUAUAAUUUUUAUAGUGAAAUAAUAAAACAAGUUGUAUAUUUAAAUAGUAUCAUGAGUAUAGUUUCUUUGUUCUAUAUCUUUUUCUCUUUUUCCACAUUAUAGAUGUUCAUAGAAGAAAUAUAGAUGUUAAAGUGAACAAAACAAACUAUUCAAAAGUCUUGAUUUUCUCUUGAAUCGUACCACCACAAAGUAAAACCCGAGAAUUAGGGUUUGAAAGACUCCAUAGAAACAAGCUUCUCUUCAACACUUCCCAAGCAGUAGAAAGAGAAAAUUGGCUUCCGAAGAAUCACACAAAAGUAGGUAUUAAAUACACCCACACAACAGCAGCAGGUCUUGAGGUGCUACAAUGUGUGGAGACACUAGAGUAGGCAAUAAUUCUGCCCUUUGGGCUCCAGUGAUGGAUCUGGAAAAAUGAAUUGUUAAUCCUGGUGAUCUAAUGCUGUGAAGCCAUGUGUAGAGCGAAGAUUUAAAAAAAAAAAAAAAAAAAGGAAGAAGAAAAAAAA